GACGAACGCUGGCGGCGUGCCUAAUACAUGCAAGUCGAACGAAGCUGUUUUAACUGGUGCUUGCACCGACUUAAACAACUGAGUGGCGAACGGGUGAGUAGCACGUGGGUAACCUGCCCCAAAGCGGGGGAUAACAUUUGGAAACAGAUGCUAAUACCGCAUAACCACAGAAACCACAUGGUUUCUGUGUCAAAGAUGGUUUCGGCUAUCACUUUGGGAUGGACCCGUGGCGUAUUAGCUAGUUGGUAAGGUAAUGGCUUACCAAGGCAAUGAUAGGUAGCCGAACGGAGAGGUGGAUCGGCCACAUUGGGACUGAGACACGGCCCAAACUCCUACGGGAGGCAGCAGUAGGGAAUCUUCCACAAUGGACGAAAGUCUGAUGGAGCAACGCCGCGUGAGUGAAGAAGGUUUUCGGAUCGUAAAACUCUGUUGUCAGAGAAGAACGUGUGCGAGAGUAACUGCUCGUGCAGUGACGGUAUCUGGCCAGAAAGCCACGGCUAACUACGUGCCAGCAGCCGCCGUAA
rnacentral:rRNA from 1 species